AGUUCAGUCUUCCCAGGCCCACCACGCUUCGCCGUCGGCUUCGCAUGGCACCGCCAGGCAGAACGACGAGGCGAAGCGCGUCCGGCAUAGCCCGAAGGGCGACGCCGGACAGAAAGAGCGCUUCGUCUUCUGGUUACGGGGCCAUAGCUCAGCUGGGAGAGCGCGUGCUUUGCAAGCAUGAGGUCGUCGGUUCGAUCCCGUCUGGCUCACCAGAUGGUUUGAUCACCGAGAUCUUGACCGUCGUCCGCGAAACAUCACUUCGCAUCCUGCUAGUCUGGAUAGACAGCAAGUUGCGUGUUUUCUGACAUCGUAAAGAGGAGAUCGAUCCGAGUUGGAUCGUGCAACAUAUCGUUGCGCGAGCCUUCAUUAUCUCCGGAUCAUUUCGGCGCUCGCUUCCAGCCGUGAGGUUGGAUGCGGGUUGUAAAUGAUCCUUUUAGCGAAGCUUGACCGCCUCGCUAUCGGAACGAUCUUACGAAGCAAGCUGGUCUUUCUAGUCAAUGUCCGGCUGUACGUAGCAUUCAUCGAGGGUGCGCGCCCGAGAUUUCGGUCUCUUGGCAAUCGUACAGACAACAUUCUGCCGAGUGUGUGGACAUUGAUAAUGAGAGCAAUCAAGUGCCUUAAGGGUGUUCGGUGGAUGCCUUGGCGCUGAGAGGCGAUGAAGGACGUGCUACGCUGCGAUAAGCCGUGGGGAGCUGCGAAGAAGCUUUGAUCCGCGGAUU
rnacentral:misc_RNA from 1 species